rnacentral:rRNA from 1 species
GACGAACGCUGGCGGCGUGCUUAACACAUGCAAGUCGAACGGAAAGGCCCUGCUUUUGUGGGGUGCUCGAGUGGCGAACGGGUGAGUAACACGUGAGUAACCUGCCCUUGACUUUGGGAUAACUUCAGGAAACUGGGGCUAAUACCGGCUAGGAGCUCCUGCUGCAUGGUGGGGGUUGGAAAGUCUCGGCGGUUGGGGAUGGACUCGCGGCUUAUCAGCUUGUUGGUGGGGUAGUGGCUUACCAAGGCUUUGACGGGUAGCCGGCCUGAGAGGGUGACCGGCCACAUUGGGACUGAGAUACGGACCAGACUCCUACGGGAGGCAGCAGUGGGGAAUAUUGCACAAUGGGCGGAAGCCUGAUGCGGCAACGCCGCGUGCGGGAUGACGGCCUUCGGGUUGUAAACCGCUUUCGCCUGUGACGAAGCGUGAGUGACGGUAAUGGGUAAAGAAGCACCGGCUAACUACGUG